rnacentral:rRNA from 1 species
CACGUAGUUAGCCGGGCCUUCUUCCUCGGGUACCGUCGUUCGUCGUCCCCAAGAAAAGGGGUUUACACCCCGAAAGGCGUCCUCCCCCACGCGGCGUUGCUCCGUCAGGCUUGCGCCCAUUGCGGAAAAUUCCUUGCUGCUGCCUCCCGUAGGAGUGGGGGCCGUCUCUCAGUCCCCCUGUGGCUGGCCGUCCUCUCAGACCAGCUACCGAUCAUCGCCUUGGGAGGCCAUCACCCCCCAACUAGCUAAUCGGCCGCAGACCCCUCCGUCGGCGAGUCCGAAGACCCUUCUCAGCAGCCCCACCGGCCACCGAGCGUAUGCGGAAUUACCCCCGGUUUCCGGGGCCUACCCCCACCAUCGGGCAGGUUGCCCACGUGUUCCUCACCCGUCCGCCACGUCGACUCCCCCGAAGGCCGAGCCCGUUCGAUUGCAUGCAUUAGGCACGCCGCCAGCGUUGAUCCUGAGCCAGGAUCCAAAACUCU